rnacentral:rRNA from 1 species
CCUACGGGAGGCAGCAGUAGGGAAUCUUCCACAAUGGGCGAAAGCCUGAUGGAGCAACGCCGCGUGGGUGAAGAAGGUCUUCGGAUCGUAAAACCCUGUUGUUAGAGAAGAAAGUGCGUGAGAGUAACUGUUCACGUUUCGACGGUAUCUAACCAGAAAGCCCCGGCUAACUACGUGCCAGCAGCCGCGGUAAUACGUAGGUGGCAAGCGUUAUCCGGAUUUAUUGGGCGUAAAGGGAACGCAGGCGGUCUUUUAAGUCUGAUGUGAAAGCCUUCGGCUUAACCGGAGUAGUGCAUUGGAAACUGGGAGACGUGAGUGCAUAAGAGGAGAGUGGAACUCCAGGUGUAGCGGUGAAAUGCGUAGAUAUAUGGAAGAACACCAGUGGCGAAAGCGGCUCUCUGGUCUGUAACUGACGCUGAGGUUCGAAAGCGUGGGUAGCAAACAGGAUUAGAUACCCCUGUAGUC